GAUGAACGCUGGCGGCGUGCCUAAUACAUGCAAGUCGAGCGAACGGACGAGAAGCUUGCUUUUCUGAUGUUAGCGGCGGACGGGUGAGUAACACGUGGAUAACCUACCUAUAAGACUGGGAUAACUUCGGGAAACCGGAGCUAAUACCGGAUAAUAUUUUGAACCACAUGGUUCAAAAGUGAAAGACGGUCUUGCUGUCACUUAUAGAUGGAUCCGCGCUGCAUUAGCUAGUUGGUAAGGUAACGGCUUACCAAGGCAACGAUGCAUAGCCGACCUGAGAGGGUGAUCGGCCACACUGGAACUGAGACACGGUCCAGACUCCUACGGGAGGCAGCAGUAGGGAAUCUUCCGCAAUGGGCGAAAGCCUGACGGAGCAACGCCGCGUGAGUGAUGAAGGUCUUCGGAUCGUAAAACUCUGUUAUUAGGGAAGAACAUAUGUGUAAGUAACUGUGCACAUCUUGACGGUACCUAAUCAGAAAGCCACGGCUAACUACGUG
rnacentral:rRNA from 1 species